rnacentral:rRNA from 1 species
GUGCUUAACACAUGCAAGUCGAGUGCGCGCCUGUAGCAAUACAGGUGGCGCACGGCGCACGGGUGCGUAACACGUGGGUAAUCUGCCCUCUGAUGGGGAAUAACUCGCCGAAAGGCGAGCUAAUUCCGCAUAACAUUCCGGGAACUUUGGUUCUUGGAUUCAAAGGCGUAAGUCGUCGGAGGAGGAGCCCGCGCACGAUUAGCUAGUUGGUGAGGUAAUGGCUCACCAAGGCUUUGAUCGUUAGCUGGUCUGAGAGGAUGGCCAGCCACACUGGAACUGAGACACGGUCCAG